rnacentral:lncRNA from 1 species
GACACUAUACUGCUCUCGAACUCAAUUAUUACAAAUACAAUUUUAAUGUUAGAAGUAUUAUUUAUAACGAUAAAUAUUAGAAAAAGUAUCCAUUGCAUUUUAAACAUGCAUAGAAAUAAAUGUAACACGUUGAAAAGCACGAGUAUAGUGCUUUUAAAAGCAAAGCAAUGCAAUGAGAAGUUAGGCACUUCAUCCUUAUCUCUCACAUCAACAUCAAACUAAUACGAGGGUGGAAUCAGAUCACUGGAUUUCUUCAUCUUGGAUAUGAAUUCUGAAUCCACGUUAAGAGCAACUUCUUGAAUCGAAGAUGACAACUUUCCCCAUAUCGAUCCCUUCCCUGCCAACUCAUCAAACAAAGGUAUGCAAAUCAUAUAGAAUAAUGAUAUUUAUACAACAUAUUUUUUACAACAUUUAAAUAUUGAUUACGUAUCAAUAUAUGAUUGGUCAAAAAUUACUCCACAAUAAUGUUUAUGAUUAUUAUUAUUGAUUGUGGAAUAAUUUUUGACCAAUCAUAGAUUGACACGUAAUCAAUGUUCAAAUAUUGUCAAAAAAUUGUUCUCUAAAUAUCAUUAUCCAAUCAUAUAAUCAAUCAGUAAUUUUUUUUUUGUUGAUUAUUAUCUAUAUAUAUAUAAUGGAAAAAGUCUCUUUAACAACUCUUUUUUAACAACUUUUUGAUAACAUAUAGGUGACAGUUUGUGAUUGGUCGAUUUCAAAUAAUUUUUUUAGUAUAAAUUCAAACCGACCAAUAAAAUAGUGACACAUAUCUCAUUGUCAAAAAUUUGUUAAAAAAAGUUGUUAAAAUAUUAUUAUCCAUAUAUAAUAUAACCAGUAGAAACUUACUUUGUAGUUGUAGUAAUGGAGUAACAUUCCAUUGUUUCUUCUCCUGCAAUUUUAGCCACGACAAAAAGUUGCGGCACCACGAUCAAAUCACCAGCCUUAACAAGAGUGUCUAAUGCAGGUUUUCCAUUGAAGUCCACAAUUUCAAUCUUGCCACUUCCUCUGGCAAUGUAAAUCAAUUGAAUCGCAGCGGUUGUUGGGUAUGAAGGAGCCUUAAUAGCACCGGCUUCAAGUUUCACUCUAAUCAAACUCAAACCAAUCUCCCCCAUAAAAGGAAACUCUUUCUCCGUUAAAGUUUUCACCAAUCCAGCUUUUUCAACAACAUUUUCUGCGCAUGCAGCGUCUAUGUUGUACACAAGCUUUUUGGUUAUGUCGAUCUGGGGUUUAGGCAGUGCCUGAUUUUUGUCCAGUUUCACAAUAAAAAGAUCAGCUUGACUUUUUGUGAGCUUUUGAACCUCAUCUUUGUCAAAGUUAUAGACUUUGCCGGUGAGCUCAGUUGAGAAACCUCCUAUAACUCCUAUAGCUCCAGUUAGAAGGAAAUAGGUGAAUUGACCUGGAAUAAGACCCUUUGAAGUUUCUCCAAGAAAAACAAUGAUCAGAUCUGUGUCUCCAUCGUUGAACCACCACGACACAGCUCCAACAGGUACUGCUAUAACGUCUCCUUCCUCAAGUUUCAAAACCACCUCUUCUUUGCCGUCGGGGAGAACCAUCCCAACUACUCCAUCACUCCCUGCAAAGUUUCUCAUAUAUAGUAAUUGGAAGUUAAGAUUUGUUUAUGGUGAAAAGCGAAAAGAUAUAUAUGUAAGAGUUCUGACCUUGAAUGACAUAACCAACUUUGGAUGAAUCUGCAUAAUGAGGAAAGGCAAAGCCGCGAGGGUGAAGAAGAAAACGACCAGCGCCCAGAUUAGUCGUAGCCAGAAUUGGCAUUUGAGAAGCAUACCAAGUGUAGUAACCUCCACCAUCUCCCUCAAACAGUGGUUCUGCUGAUUUUGGUGUUAAAUCCAACUCCAUUAUUCACCUUAUUUUCCCUUUGUCCACCAAAAAUAUUUCAAACACGUUCAAGCAUCUUACUUAAAUGAAGUAGAUAGUCACAUACACAUAUACAUACAUAUAUAUAUAUAUAUAUAUAUAUAUAUAUAUAUAUUUUUGAUAAUAUUUGAUUACGUGUGAAUCUGUGAUUGAUAAAAAAUUACUCCAGAAUAAUGUUUAUGAUUAUUAUUAUUGAUUUGGAGUCAUUUUUGACCAAUCACAUAUUAACAAGUAAUCAAUGUUUAAAUGUUGUCAAAAAAAUGUUGUCUAAAUCAUUAUAUAUAUAUAUAUAUAUAUAUAUAUAUAUAUAUAUAUNNNNNNNNNNNNNNNNNAUAUAUAUAUAUAUAUAUAUAUAUAUAUAUAUAUAUAUAUAUAUAUAUAUAUAUAUAUAUAGGGAUAAUAAUAUUUUAACAAUUUUUUUUAACAAUUUUUUGACAACAGGACACGUAUUACCAUUUUAUUGAUAUGUUUGAAUUUAUCCUAAAAAAAAUAUUUAAAACCAACCUAUCACGAACUGUUAUGCAUUCUCAAAAAAUUCUCAAGAAUUGUUAAAAGACUUUUUUUUCUAUAUAUAAUAGGUUUAUCUUACAACACACAGAAGAUCAGAAAACAUUUUUUUUUUAUGUUUGAAAAAUACCACUACAUACAAACACUACUGUUGGGUCGAACUUCUAUAACCUAACCUCAAAACUCUGAUAAACACCGAUGGCUGGUCGAAAGAUUUCUGGCAUUGAAGACGGUGUCCACGCGUUCCACGAAUGAGUAGAACCCACAAAAUGUACUGUCUUUAAAAUUCAAACUGUACCUUACAUAACUUGCUUAGUAAAUUGUUUAAAGUUCAUCAAGAUAGAUUCACACGUCCUAAAAUAUUUUAAUCUAAAAAAAAUCAAUUUAAAAUAUAAAAGUUAAUAUAAAUUUUACUUUACAAAACUAAUUUUAUAAGAUUAAAUCAAAUUAAAGUUUAUUUUAUAAUAUAGUAUUAUAUAUAUAAUUUAAAAUUUAUUUUAACAAAAUUUAUUAUUAAUUAAAAAUAUUAUUUUAUCUAUUAUUAAACUAUUCAUUAAUAUUCAAUAUCAUAUCCAAAAUAUAUAUACAUUAGUACGAGAAAAGUAAAUUAAAAGUGAUAGGACUCUAAUUUAUAAUUUAUUUUAAUUAAUAUAACAAAAUUGAGUGUUUAAUUCUAAAAUAAAUACAAAAACUCUUAUUUUUAUUAUAAAAACAUUUUAAACAAAUAAAAGAACGUGUUUUAAAUAAAAAAUAAGAAACUUUUUUAUAUUGAAAAUUUGAGUCAAGAAAACAAUUUUGAUCUCAUAUUUUAUAAUUUUAAUCAUAUAUUUUAAAAAUCAUUCAUAAAAUAAUAUUUAAAGAAAUAAAUAGACACAUUUCAUUUAUAAUAUAAGUAAAUAUUUAUAAAUAACUAUUAACUUUAAUUUUUUUAGUAUGAACAGUCAUUUUAAUAUAAAUUAAAGUCAUUUUACUAUAAAUUAAAACAUAUGUACAUUUUUAUUAAAAAAAUAAGACAAAACAUAUGCAGAUUUUCAUUUAAAAUAUGAAUUGCAUUUUUCUCAUAUCAUAAAAAAAAGAACAAAUAUAAAUUUAUAUACAUAUAAAAUACUUUCAAUAUUUUCAUUAAUAAAAAACAUUUUGUAGUGAUACCAAAAAUCAAAACGGUAAACUCUUAUGAUCCUAAUUUUACUUACUUGUAUUAUAAGUGUAAUUCAAAUAUUAAAUAUUAUAUUUUUAAUUAAACAUUAAUUUUUUACACGAGAAAAGUUUAAAUAAUUAAAUGAUGAUGAAUAAUUUACCAAGUAUUAAUUUAAAUGAUUUUUUUUUCUGAAUAAAAAAUGACUUUAAUUAUGACAGCAACAACAAUUGAAAUUCAUCUUUCAAUAUACUUUUAACAAUAAUACUUUAUAGAUACAACAAAUAUUCAGAAUAGAUAUGAAAAACUACUAAAAAUAACAAGUUCUAUAAUAAACUAAAAUAAAUCAAAUGUAAAAUUCUAUCUAGAUUUAUAAAUCAAAUUAAACCUAAUUUGUACACAAAUAUAUUGAAUGCAUAAUAUGUGUAAACCACCCUAAUAAUGGUCACAUGAACAGCACGUGUUUGGCGAGGAUGUGGCAAGCCAGAUGCCUAAAAAACUGAAAUCCUCAAAUAUAUAGUGAGAAUUCAUUAUUGCUAAUAAAUUAUAAUAACGAUACAUCUACUUUAACUCAGGAUAAAAUAGGUGAAAAUAACAGAAAAAUUGUCAAUUAUAGAUAUAAAUUAUUUAGCACUAAAAUAAUUAUUAUAACAAAUCUUAUCGCUAGAUCUUCACCAAUUAAAAAUUCUUAAAAGAGAUUUUGAGUCUAAUCAAAUCUUCUGCCUUUGUCAUAGUGAGAUGUAUUUUUUAAGAGAUUUGGUUUGUCACAAGAGAUUUAAACAUUAUAAAUAGCAAAAACGUUCAUUUAAUAUAUGGAUUGAAAUUAUUGCUUAUAUAUUCAAUAUUAGUUAUAAUUUACAAGAACAUAUUUUAAUCAGGAGAAAAGUUAAAGAUUUAUCAGUUUGAAAUAUCACAUUCUUAGAAAAAUCAACUGUUUUAAUUAAUAUCAUCCACGUGAAAAGAAAAAUUGAACGGUGUGACAAUUUUGUCUAUUAAAAAAAAAGACACGUAAUUGAGUAUGGGCAUUGAUAUCAUAAUCAAUUUUGAAUUUCUCAAAAUAUUAAAAGAAACCAUUUGUAUAACGACAAGGCCUCUCAAAAAGAUGGUUUGAUUUUUCCUUGUAGUUUGUCUCCUUCUUCUCUUCUAUUUAAUAAUAAUUUGAUGAUUACAUUUUUAGAAAAAAACUUCAAAUGUACAAUCACGCAAAUCUGCUAUAAAAUAGAUACACUAGUAUAAAAUAAGACUUUAAUGUCACUCCAUAAAUAUCGAACAAAAUAAAAUCUAACAACGGUGAUAUUUUCGUAAAUAAAUGAGUAUAUAGACAUCAGUUCAGCAGGGUUUCGACGUUUAUAAUAUUAGAAAUGUCGGUAUUCCUUUAAACUAAUAUCUAUAUGCUUGAUAGGUAGGUGGAAAGUUAUUUCUUUCCGCCAUAUAGACGUCGUUUAGGAGAGGCACCGACGUUCUAAUAUUACAGAUGUCGGUGCCUCUUUUAUCGACGUCUAUAACGACGUCGUACCUGAAAAAAACCGACGUCCCAUUAACGUCACCUAUAUAGAUGUCAAGUCUGGAUGUGACGUUAAAAGUAAAAAAUAACAAAUGUCUACAUCCCUUUCUACACUAGUGAUAAUAAACGAGUAAUGGUACGAUACACUUUUACAUUCAUUUCAUAAAAAAUAUAAAGUUAAAAUGCUUAUAAAAAUGUAACUUUUUAUAUUUUGUUCUAUAAAAAAAUAAAAAAAAAGUAAAAAAUAAUAUGAAAUGAACAUAAAAAAUUUAAGUAUAUCAAAUAAUUAUUAUUCAAUAAUAAAUAUCAUUGAUUAGUUAUUGGCUUACCACUUCCCCCUUUCUUUCGUUUAUUAUUGAACAAACUUAAAAUUUAUUUUUAUGAAAAUAUCCCCUUCAACAAAACGACAUGCAGUAGUAUGACAAAGAAAAAACAGAAACUUAUUUAAAGUGGAAAAAUUUAACAAUAAUAUAGCAUUCCAACUCAUGAUUUGAUACCACUAUUAAGAUAAUAUACUUCAUUUUUUACAUAAUAUUUAUUUUUCAUAUCAUUAUUCCAUGUAAAAUUCAAACUCACAUUUAAAAUUUUCAAGCUAAUAAUUUUCAUAUCCAUCGUCACUCAUCUCAAAAUUAUUCAUAAACAAAAUACACGAACAACAGACCACACAUAAACAAAUAAAUCAAAGAAUCAAACGCAUAGACUUAAGUAGAAGGUGGGAUGAGAUUGGUAGAUUCCUUGAUCUUGGAUAUGAACAACUUUUGAAAAUCAGAAUCUACAUUAAGAGCCACCUGUUGCAGUGUAGAUGAGAAAAUGCUCCAAAUCGAUGUCUUUCCAGCCAACUCUUCAAACAAAGGUCUGCAAAUAGGAUAAUCAAUGAUUUUUUGUUAGUAUCUGUGACAUGACAUACUUUAAAACAACAUAAUCAAUCAAUUUUAAUGUUAUUGCAUGCCAUUAACAACAUCUUACUUUGUUGUUGUCACAAUGGAAUAACUCUCCAAUCCUUCUUCACCAGCAAUUUCAGCAACAACAAAGAACUGUGGCACCACAACCAAAUCACCAGCCUCAACUUGAGUGUUUAACACACUCUUUCCAUUGAAGUCCACAAUUUCAAUCUUGCCACUUCCUCUAGCAAUAUAAAUCAACUCAACAGUAGGACUCACCGGGUAUGAUGGAGCCUUGAUAGCAUUAGGUUCAAGUUUUACUCUGAUCAAGCUUAACCCAACAUCCUCAAUAGAACCAAAAUCUUUCUCUGUUAAGGUUUUCACCAACCCAGCUUUUUCCACAGCAUUUUCUGGCUCUGCACCAUCUAUAUUAUACACUAACUUUUUGGUAUUGUGCAGUUGGGGCUUAGGAACAGGUUGAGUUUUGUCUAGUUUGAUGAUCAAAACCCCAGUUUGGCUUCUUGUGAGCUUUUCCACUUCAUUUUUGUCUAAGCCAUAGACCUUGCUCGUGAGAUCAGUGGAGAAGCCUCCUAUAACUCCUAUAGCCCCAGUUAGAAAGAAAUAGGUGAAUUGACCUGGAAUAAGAGCCUUUGAAGUUUCUCCAAGAAAAACGAUGACCAGAUCUGUGUCUCCAUCGUUGAACCACCACGAAACAGCUCCAACAGGUACUGCUAUAACGUCUCCUUUCUCAAGUUUCACAACCACCUCUUCUUUGCUGUUCGGGAGAACCAUUCCAGCUACUCCGUCGCUCCCUACAAAGUUUCUUAUAUAAAUAAUAACUCGCAAUCCUAAACUCUAAGGUGAGAUUUGCAGUCAUGAAAUCGCUUUGAUACAAAAAAUCUUGUUAAAAUAGACUUAACAUAUGAUUCUGAUAUACGUGAACUUUAAGUCUAACUUAAAUCGUGUUAUCUCUGAUGAACAUAAGAAUUUUUGCUAGCAUAAAUCUUAAUAAUGCAUGAUACUGAUAUUAUAUUAUUAUAUUAAGAAGUAAAGUUAUCAGUUUUAUAAAAGUAAGAUCAUGUUAUUAAACUCUUUUAACAAUAAAAAAUUUGCAAGAGUAACACGAGGAGAGAAUAGAAAAUAUAUAUAUAUGAAAGGGUGCUGACCUUGAAUGACAUAACCUAGUUUGGAUGAAUCUGCAUAAUGAGGAAGAGCAAAGCCACGAGGCUGAAGAAGAAGGCGACCUGCACCCAGAUAUUCCUUGGCGAGAAGUGGCACUUGAGAAGUUGUCCAAGUGUAGUAACCUCCGCCAUCUCCCUCAAACAAUGCUUCAGCUUUCUUUGGUGUUAAGUCUAUCGCCAUUCGUUCAAAGGAAUAGAGUUUCUGUCGAAAGAAAUGAGGAACAAGGUGAUUCAGAUGCAUAUAAGAGAUGAUAGUGGCUAU